CGAAGAAGAGGAAGAAGAAGAUGGU
rnacentral:sRNA from 1 species